CGCCCGGAUGCGGCGCGCGGGGCUGCCGCCGCUGCCGGUGGCGGAGGGCCUGGCGCUGCUCGACACCGCGCUGACCGUC
rnacentral:tRNA from 2 species